UUGAACGCUGGCGGCAUGCUUUACACAUGCAAGUCGAACGGGGGUGGUGGGGCAACUGCCAUUCAGUGGCGAAACGGGUGAGUAAUGCCAUCGGAACGUGUCCGGAAGUGGGGGGGAUAACGCCGCGAAAGCGUGCCUAAUACCGCAUAGCUCUGCGGGAGGAAAGCAGGGGACCGCAAGGCCUUGUGCUUCUGGGGCGGCCGAUGUCCGAUUAGCUCGUUGGUGGGGGUAAUGGCCUACCAAGGCGACGAUCGGUAGCUGGCCUGAGAGGAUGAUCAGCCACACUGGGACUGAGACACGGCCCAGACUCCUACGGGAGGCAGCAGUGGGGAAUUUUGGACAAUGGGCGCAAGCCUGAUCCAGCCAUGCCGCGUGCGGGAAGAAGGCCUUCGGGUUGUAAACCGCUUUAGCCGGGAAGAAAGGCGCAAGGAUGAAUAGCCGUGGCGUGUUGACGGCACCGGCGGAAUAAGCACCGGCUAACUACGUGCCAGCAGCCGCGGUAAUACGUAGGGUGCGAGCGUUAAUCGGAAUUACUGGGCGUAAAGCGUGCGCAGGCGGCUCCGUGUAGUCAGGAUGUGAAAGCCCCGGGCUUAACCUGGGAACUGCGUUGAAACUGGGGGCUUGAGUGUGGCAGAGGGGGGUGGAAUUCCGGUGUAGCAGUGAAAUGCGUAGAGAUGCUGGAGGAACACGAUGGCGAAGGCAGCCCCCUGGGCUGACACUGACGCUCAUGGGCACGAAAGCGUGGGGGAGCAAACAGGAUUAGAUACCCUGGAUAGUCCACGCCCUAAACGAUGUCGAACUGGGUGUGGGGAAGGCGAUUCCCAUUGUACCGUAGGCUAACGCGUGAAGGUGACCGCCUGGGAGUACGGCCGCAGGUUUAAAACUCAAAGGAAUUGACGGGGACCCGCACAAGCGGUGGAUUAUGUGGAUUAAUUCGAUUCAAACGCGAAAACCUUACCUACCCUUGACAUGUACGGAAGCCCGAUGAGAGUCGGGGUGUGCCCGAAAGGGAGCCGUAACACGGUGCUGCAUGGCUGUCGUCAGCUCGUGUCGUGAGAUGUUUUGGGUUAAGUCCCGCAACGAGCGCAAAACCCUUGUCAUUAGUUGCUACAUUCAGUUGGGCACUCUAAUGAGACUGGCCGGUGACAAACCGGAGGAAGGUGGGGAUGACGGUCAAGUCCUCAUGGCCCUUAUGGGUAGGGCUUUCACACGUAUACAAUGGCCGGUACAGAGGGGCAAGCCAACCGCGAGGGGGAGCUAAUCCCCAUAAGAAGCCGGUCGUAGUCCGGAUUGGUUCUCUGCAACUCGAGAGCAUGAAGUCGGAAUCGCUAGUAACGCGGAUCAGCAUGUCGCGGUGAAUACGUUCCCGGGUCUUGUACACACCGCCCGUCACACCAUGGGAGUGGGUUUCACCAGAAGUAGUUAGGCCUAACCGCAAGGAGGGCGACUACCACGGUGAGAUUCAUGACUGGGGUG
rnacentral:rRNA from 1 species